UUUCCGUAGGUGAACCUGCGGAAGGAUCAUUAUCAUGUAAUUCAGUCCCCUUGGCUGUGUUAUAUAUAUACCCACUCUGUGUACCUUCUCCUGUUGCUUCCGCUGGGUGUGUAAUUCGCCCGGCGGAAGGGUAAAAAUAACCUCUGAGUAUUGAUGAAAUCUCUGUCUGAACCGAAUAGAAAGAAAAAUGUUAAAACUUUCAGCAACGGAUCUCUUGGUUCUCGUAUCGAUGAAGAACGCAGC
rnacentral:misc_RNA from 1 species